rnacentral:tRNA from 1 species
UCAAAGCUUACACCAGUCUUGUAAACCGGACGCCGAAGGUUAAAAUCCUUCCUACUG